UAGUAAUAUGUGGGCAUACCGCAGACAGUAGGUGUCGCAAGACUUAAUUUCCUACCGAGGUGAGUCUAAGUUGGCUUAGUUGACUAGGUUUUAUCCGUCGACAACAGUCAAAAGGUCGAAGAUUCACGAGUUGUUCUGUGGGAAACCACAGUUUUUUUGUUGAAAUA
rfam:Parcubacteria (Magasanikbacteria) bacterium GW2011_GWC2_42_27 TV18_C0004, whole genome shotgun sequence.